UGCAGUCGAACGGGUGUAGCAAUACACCAGUGGCGGACGGGUGAGUAAUGUAUAGCUAACGUACCCUCGGGACGGGGAUAGCCAUCCGAAAGGAUGGGUAAUACCCGGCAACAUAUCCUGGUCGCAUGAUCGGGAUCUCAGAGGCCGCAAGGCGCCUGAGGAGCGGGCUAUAUUGUAUCAGCUAGUUGGUAGGGUAAUGGCCUACCAAGGCGACGACGCAUAGCCGGGCUAAGAGGUUGUCCGGCCACAUUGGGACUGAGACACUGCCCAGACUCCUACGGGGGGCUGCAGUAACGAAUCUUCCACAAUGCACGAAAGUGUGAUGGAGCGACGCCGCGUGUAGGAUGAAGUUCUUCGGAAUGUAAACUACUGUCAGGGGUAAGAAAGUUCUGAUCUGCCCCAGAGGAAGGCACGGCUAACUCUGUGCCAGCAGCCGCGGUAAGACAGAGGUGCCAAGCGUUAGGCGGAAUCACUGGGCUUAAAGCGUGUGUAGGCGGAUUGACAGGUACCUUGUGAAAUCCCACGGCUCAACCGUGGAACGGCUUGGUAUACUGUUGAUCUUGAGCCAUCUAGAGGCAACUGGAACAAACGGUGGAGCGGUGAAAUGCGUAGAUAUCGUUUGGAACGCCAAAGGUGAAAACAGGUUGCUG
rnacentral:rRNA from 1 species